GUGAGUUUUCACAAGCAAAGCAUAAUAAUACACGAGUCAUUUCGAAGCAUGCUUUUGCUAAAAGCGAAAGAAUUUGUAACACAACGCAUACUUCAUUUCGGGGACAACAGGCAGAAAGAGAUUGGAGUUACCACAUGCGUUUAAAGGAGUGACGAAAACGGGGAAAUCCAGAUGUCUACUAGGAAAGAAAAUAAAAGACAAAUAUCUUA